rnacentral:rRNA from 1 species
UACGAAGGGUCCAAGCGUUGUUCGGAAUCAUUGGGCGUAAAGCGCGCGCAGGCGGAUUAAUAAGUCAGGUGUGAAAUCUCGGGGCUCAACCUCGAAACUGCGCCUGAAACUAUUAGUCUAGAAUGUCGGAGGGGGCAGGGGAAUUUCACGUGUAGGGGUAAAAUCCGUAGAGAUGUGAAGGAACACCGGGGGCGAAGGCGCCUGCCUGGACGACUAUUGACGCUGAGGCGCGAAAGCGUGGGGAGCAAACAGG